GAUGAAGAACGUAGCGAAAUGCGAUAAGUAGUGUGAAUUGCAGAAUUCCGUGAAUCAUCGAAUCUUUGAACGCACAUUGCGCCUCCUGGUAGUCCGGGAGGCAUGCCUGUUCGAGCGUCACCAAAUCCAACUCAAGCGGUUUUGCGCUUGGUCGUGGCGGAAGAGUCGGUCUGGUUGCCGUCUCCCCUCCGAAAAUCAACGGCGGAAAGUCACUGGCAGUCAGCGUAGUAGUAUCGUUCGCCGAACAUCCAGUGGCAUUCGCCGACGUACCCCCACAAUUCUCGUGAUUGACCUCGGAUCAGGUAGGGAUACCCGCUGAACUUAAGCAUAUCAAUAAGCGGAGGA
rnacentral:misc_RNA from 1 species